rnacentral:rRNA from 1 species
GUCCACGCCGUAAACGAUGGGUGCUAGACGUUGGCGAGCUUGCUCGUCAGUGUCGCAGCUAACGCGUUAAGCACCCCGCCUGGGGAGUACGGCCGCAAGGUUGAAACUCAAAGGAAUUGACUGGGGCCCCGCACAAGCGGUGGAGCAUGUGGUUCAAUUCGACGCAACGCGCAGAACCUUACCAGCCCUUGACAUGUGACUCGCCGGUACCAGAGAUGGUACCUUCGGUUCGGCCGGAGUCAGCACAGGUGCUGCAUGGCUGUCGU